rnacentral:rRNA from 1 species
GACGAACGCUGGCGGCGUGCUUAACACAUGCAAGUCGAACGGAAAGGCCCUGCUUUUGUGGGGUGCUCGAGUGGCGAACGGGUGAGUAACACGUGAGUAACCUGCCCUUGACUUUGGGAUAACUUCAGGAAACUGGGGCUAAUACCGGAUAGGAGCUCCUGCUGCAUAGUGGGGGUUGGAAAGUUUCGGCGGUUGGGGAUGGACUCGCGGCUUAUCAGCUUGUUGGUGGGGUAGUGGCUUACCAAGGCUUUGACGGGUAGCCGGCCUGAGAGGGUGACCGGCCACAUUGGGACUGAGAUACGGCCCAGACUCCUACGGGAGGCAGCAGUGGGGAAUAUUGCACAAUGGGCGGAAGCCUGAUGCAGAAACGCCGCGUGCGGGAUGACGGCCUUCGGGUUGUAAACCGCUUUCGCCUGUGACGAAGCGUGAGUGACGGUAAUGGGUAAAGAAGCACCGGCUAACUACGUG